rnacentral:rRNA from 1 species
GAUGAACGCUGGCGGCGUGCUUAAUACAUGCAAGUCGAACGGGGUUUGGUUGGUAGUAAUACUGAUCAGACUUAGUGGCGAACGGGCGAGUAACGAGUUGGCGACCUGCCCCGAAGAGAGGGAUAACAUGCCGAAAGGGAUGCUAAUACCUCAUAAUAUCCCGAUAGUUAGAGAAUUGGGAAGAAAGUGGAGACACGCUUUGGGAGGGGCCUGCUUCCCAUCAGCUAGUUGGAGUGGUAACGGCACACCAAGGCGACGACGGGUAAGGGACCUGAGAGGGUGGUCCCUCGCAAUGGCACUGAAACACGGGCCAUACACCUACGGGUGGCAGCAGUAGGGAAUAUUGGGCAAUGGGCGAAAGCCUGACCCAGCAACGCCGCGUGCGCGAAGAAGGCCUUCGGGUCGUAAGCGCUUUCUGUAGGGAUGAGAAGGAC